GCCAGAGAUGGCUUCGUGCUCGAAAGAGAGCCGUAACACAGGUGCUGCAUGGCUGUCGUCAGCUCGUGUCGUGAGAUGUUGGGUUAAGUCCCGCAACGAGCGCAACCCUUGUCAUUAGUUGCUACGAAAGGGGCACUCUAAUGAGACUGCCGGUGACAAACCGGAGGAAGGUGGGGAUGACGUCAAGUCCUCAUGGCCCUUAUAGGUGGGGCUACACACGUCAUACAAUGGCUGGUACAAAGGGUUGCCAACCCGCGAGGGGGAGCCAAUCCCAUAAAGCCAGUCGUAGUCCGGAUCGCAGUCUGCAACUCGACUGCGUGAAGUCGGAAUCGCUAGUAAUCGUGGAUCAGCAUGUCACGGUGAAUACGUUCCCGGGUCUU
rnacentral:rRNA from 1 species